GAUGAAGAAGGCAGCGAAAUGCGAUACGUAAUGUGAAUUGCAGAAUUCAGUGAAUCAUCGAGUCUUUGAACGCACAUUGCGCCCCCUGGUAUUCCGGGGGGCAUGCCUGUCCGAGCGUCAUUGCUGCCCUCAAGCACGGCUUGUGUGUUGGGCCUCCGUCCUCCUCCCGGGGGACGGGCCCGAAAGGCAGCGGCGGCACCGCGUCCGGUCCUCGAGCGUAUGGGGCUUCGUCACCCGCUCUUGUAGGCCCGGCCGGCGCUUGCCGACACAUCAAUCUUUUUUCCAGGUUGACCUCGGAUCAGGUAGGGAUACCCGCUGAACUUAAGCAUAUCAAUAAGCGGAGGA
rnacentral:misc_RNA from 1 species